CGUAAUAGCUCACUGGUCGAGAGUCUCUGCGCCGACAAUGUAACGGGGCUAAGUUAUAAACCGAAGCUGUGGAGUUGCGUAAGCGACUGGUAGGAGAGCGUUCUGUAGGCCGUUGAAGGAGAAUCGAUAAGAGACUCUGGAGGUAUCAGAAGUGAGAAUGCAGGAAUAAGUAGCGAGAAUGGGGGCGAGAAUCCCCCACGCCGGAAGACCAAGGGUUCCAGGGUAAAGUUUGUCUCCCCUGGGUAAGCCGGGUCC
rnacentral:rRNA from 1 species